GGCCAACUGCCCUGCGUCUCUACUCCUCCAAGGCUCCAACACCCCUUCGCUGACCCCCUGCCUGCCGGGCUGCCGGACAGAAUUUUGCUGAGGCCAACCACAUCACAAACGGCACACAGGUAAACUAACAUCUUUCGCCAAAUUCCCCAUUUACUAAGUAGUAGCCUUAUUUUGUUUAGUUGCUUACAUCUCGUGAUAAGUAGUAGCCUGUCAGAGAAGAAUUGAUCUAGGACUUGUUAAUAUUGGUGAGUCAUGCAUGUACAUGUGUCUAUAUUUGUGGAUCUCAGAUAUCAGUCUUCAGGCGUUCAUAUAUGUUUGUGCCUGCAGUCUUUCAUUUAGCUCCGGAUGCUGUGAAAAAUCUUCGUAGAUUUAUACUGUGCCAUCUGCACAAUGUCAAAAUGUUUCUAAUAGCCGAAGUUAUUUUCUGCUACUUAUUCUAGUUUUGAUGCACCCAGAAUUUCGUUAUAAUUACCAAAAUAUUGCAGGUGUCGAUGGAGGAACAGGUGGUAAUGUAAUUCUUGGUUUCUCAAGAUCUGUCUGGGAUUUCAGUAACUUGCAACAUCACACGGUAUGCUUUUGGUAAUUAAACUUACAUUUUGCUCCAGCAAUGCAUCUUACUGAAACCUUAUAAUAACCAAUAUCCUCAAGUGCCUUAAUUGAUCAUCGCUGUUAUAAUAAAAUAACACAUAUGAUUCUCCGACUAAAAGAAGUUUAUCCCAAUUCUCUUCACCAAAUCACGCACGACUUGUGGAAUAUUUUCUACGCAUUCAUUGUCCUUGUACGACAGCAAGUGUACCAACACCUGAUUUCGUAGGUCAUAAUCGUCCUGCACGUGAAUUAUGCUGUCAUGCAAGGCUCACAUCUAAAAGGACACAUGAAUGGUGAAUGUAGAGUACUCACUGGGACAACUGGUAAUCCAUGUUCAUGAUCAUGCCACGUGCGCAUAAUCUUUAAAACUAAAAACCCAGACAUAUUGCUGCAUAGGAGUAAAUGUUAUUAGCAAUAUGAUAGAUGAAAAUAUGGUCAAAUAAUUGGAAUGUUAAGGUUAUAACCUGUUUGGGUUUUUUGGAACUCCAAGUGGUAUGAUGCGACGCCAUCUAAAAACAUCAUCAUUCCAGCCAGGAAUUGCAUCUUGUAAUGCUAUGUUUAGAUGGAAUGAAAUACAUUGAAUCUUAAGUAUGUCCUUCUGUGAAGGAUUCUUUUUCCAUGCAUCCGAUAGGGGAAGAGGGUCGAGUAUAGUGAUUGUUCUAUCCAAUAGGUCGAACAGGAAGAGGAUGAAGCGACCGGUUGUACAAAACGGCAACAAAAUCUGUGUGAAGUAGGCUUUAGAAAUAAAAUACGGGUGAAAAGCACACACAGAGAUGGGAAGUAUGAUUACCAACUUGCACACCGAGACGUCAAAGCACAUAUCAGGCCAACGAUGAAAUAGUUUUGCAAUAAUGUAGCGUUGGGCAUCAAAUGGUAAACGGAGUUUUGGAUCUUGUGUAGAGUCAUUUAGUAUCAUCUGAGAGGAAAGUAAAGGAUUAUUAACAUUCUAUGCGCUUAUGGUUGCAAUUAUAUGUGCUCGUCGCCGUAAAAGGAAGUAUUAUGAGAUUUUAAAAACUUACAGAAAAUCUGAGAUCCAUAUAGUGAUAUGGAGUGUCUUUAGCCCAUUGAAUGUCGUCUGUAGCAUUUACUCGAACAGCCAUGUUAAAACUGUCGACAUCAAUUGCCCGUGUAUUCUUUAGUAAGUCUUGUAGUUGUCUAAGACUUAUACUUAGUGGGUAGGGCUUGGAGCUACGGAUCCAUUCUUUCCUAUCAAAUAAACCAUAGCAUCAACGAUAUAGUGAAAAAAUAAUAUACAUAAAUGCAGAUAUUGUUAUUUUGAAAGUUGACUUACUCUCGGGAAUCUGCAUUAUGAAUGGACAUGAUAUGACCUCGAAGUUUGCAAAGUAGCUCAUUUUUAUUAAGUGGCAUUCUCAGAACAACCAUGGCAGGUGGCGGGUCCAAUAUUUCAACACCGUCAGUAUCUAUUAUAUCGUCUGCUGGAUUAUGGUACUCAGGAGUUCCUUUUAUAUCAUUCAGAUCUGAUUCAUGGAGAAUGAUUGCUACUUUUUGCCUGAAGGGUUUGACAUCUUCCUGGAAAAAUAAUAAUUAGAAUCAAUAUAUUACAACAUUGAAUUAGAUAUGCAAUACACUUUUGUCAUCCUUCACAAAUUACCUGUGUAACAGGAUGUGACAGUUUGUGUCCUGUCCAGUAUUCAAUGAAUUGUAGCAUGAACAAGCCGCAAGAUGAUCUAUUGGUUAAAAAUAUUGGGCACAUUAGUAAUAAGCAAACAUAAGGAAUUGUUGAAUAAUAAUCAAUAAUUG
rnacentral:lncRNA from 1 species